rnacentral:rRNA from 1 species
AUGGAGUUAAGGGCAGGCAGUCGAAGGCGGAGGACAGCAACCGCAGUCGUUGUCGUCCAGCGGCCUCCAUGGCGAUGGGCAGCACCACGAACGUACACGUACGGGCACCAGCAUCUUCAGCGUGUCAGCAGCCUUCGGCACGGCGGCGUGGGUGGGGUAGGCGGGGUUGGCGGUGUCGGCGGGGUCUGCCCCCCGGGCGGAGUGGGCGGUGUUGGCGGGGUCGGCGGCGUGGGUGGGGUCGGAGGGCAUUGCUUGUCCGACGGCAGAGACGGAUGCCCGGCGGCCGCCAGCGUGAAUAGUGCCAGGAGCAGCAGCAGCAGCGGCACAAUGCGGUGGUUCUUGGCGGCCAUGGCUGGCAGCUUCUAG